AUAAGGUGAGAGAAGGUAGUAUCUCACCCCUUACAAGUGACACACAUGUCAAGACAAAUAAGCAGAUUGAGCCCAAGGCAGUGUGGAGCUCGAUAGAGGUGGCACUCCUCAAGUAAUUAAUGGUGGACAAGGGCAGUCCAAUUGGCUUCUGCGGUGAAGCCGAUUACAGAAUUAGGUGAGAGAAGGUAGUAUCUCACCCCUUACUAAGUGACACACAUGUCAAGACAAAAAAGCAGAUUGAGCCCAAGGCAGUGUGGAGCUCGAUAGAGGUGGCACUCCUCAAGUAAUUAAUGGUCGAGAAGGGCGGUACACCUGGCUUCUAAAGUGAGGCCGAUUACAGAAUAAGGUGAGAGAAGGUAGUAUCUCACCCCUUACAAGUGACACACAUGUCAAGACAAAUAAGCAGAUUGAGCCCAAGGCAGUGUGGAGCUCGAUAGAGGUGGCACUCCUCAAGUAAUUAAUGGUCGAGAAGGGCGGUACACCUGGCUUCUAAAGUGAGGCCGAUUACAGAAUAAGGUGAGAGAAGGUAGUAUCUCACCCCUUACAAAAUAAGGUGAGAGAAGGUAGUAUCUCACCCCUUACAAGUGACACACAUGUCAAGACAAAUAAGCAGAUUGAGCCCAAGGCAGUGUGGAGCUCGAUAGAGGUGGCACUCCUCAAGUAAUUAAUGGUCGAGAAGGGCGGUACACCUGGCUUCUAAAGUGAGGCCGAUUACAGAAUAAGGUGAGAGAAGGUAGUAUCUCACCCCUUACAAGUGACACACAUGUCAGGACAAAUAAGCAGAUUGACCACAAGGCAGUGUGGAGCUCGAUAGAGGUGGCACUCCUCAAGUAAUUAAUGGUCGAGAAGGGCGGUACACCUGGCUUCUAACGUGAGGCCGAUUACAGAAUAAGGUGAGAGAAGGUAGUAUCUCACCCCUUACAAGUGACACACAUGUCAAGACAAAUAAGCAGAUUGAGCCCAAGGCAGUGUGGAGCUCGAUAGAGGUGGCACU